rnacentral:rRNA from 1 species
UACAGAGGGUGCAAGCGUUAAUCGGAUUUACUGGGCGUAAAGGGCGCGUAGGCGGCCACCGCAAGUCGAUUGUGAAAUCUCCGGGCUUAACCCGGAAAGGUCAACCGAUACUGCGGGGCUAGAGUGCAGAAGGGGCAACUGGAAUUCUCGGUGUAGCGGUGAAAUGCGUAGAUAUCGAGAGGAACACCUGCGGCGAAGGCGGGUUGCUGGGCUGACACUGACGCUGAAGUGCGAAAGCUAGGGGAGCGAACGGG